rnacentral:rRNA from 1 species
CCGGCGGCUGCCUUAACAUGCAGUCGAACGGCAGCACGGGUGCUUGCACCUGGUGGCGAGUGGCGAACGGGUGAGUAAUACAUCGGAACAUGUCCUGUAGUGGGGGAUAGCCCGGCGAAAGCCGGAUUAAUACCGCAUACGAUCUCUGGAUGAAAGCGGGGGACCUUCGGGCCUCGCGCUAUAGGGUUGGCCGAUGGCUGAUUAGCUAGUUGGUGGGGUAAAGGCCUACCAAGGCGACGAUCAGUAGCUGGUCUGAGAGGACGACCAGCCACACUGGGACUGAGACACGGCCCAGACUCCUACGGGAGGCAGCAGUGGGGAAUUUUGGACAAUGGGCGAAAGCCUGAUCCAGCAAUGCCGCGUGUGUGAAGAAGGCCUUCGGGUUGUAAAGCACUUUUGUCCGGAAAGAAAUCCUUGGCCCUAAUACGGUCGGGGGAUGACGGUACCGGAAGAAUAAGCACCGGCUAACUACGUGCCAGAC